CGAUGGCGAUGAUGAUUUCUAGAUUUUUGCUCUCCUGAUGUAGCCGUGAGGGUGCAAAGUCACUACCUCAUCUGAUGCCAUCU
rnacentral:snoRNA from 13 species